rnacentral:rRNA from 1 species
CGGUUGAUCCUGCCGGAGGACAUUGCUAUUGGGAUUCGAUUUAGCCAUGCUAGUCGAACGAGUUCACACUCGUGGCACAUAGCUCAGUAACACGUGGCCAAGCUACCCUUCAGUCGGCAAUACCCUCGGGAAACUGAGGCUAAUAGCCGAUACGAAACAGACGCUGGAAUGCACUGUAUUCCAAAGACACCGCUGAAGGAUGCGGCUGCGGCCGAUUAGGUAGACGGUGGGGUAACGGCCCACCGUGCCAGUAAUCGGUACGGGUGAUGAGAGUCAGAGCCCGGAGACGGAAUCUGAGACAAGAUUCCGGGCCCUACGGGGCGCAGCAGGCGCGAAACCUUUACACUGCACGAAAGUGCGAUAGGGGAAUCCCAAGUGCGAGGGCAUAUUAGCCCUCGCUUUUGUUGACUCUAAGGUGGUCAACGAAUAAGAGCUGGGCAAGACCGGUGCCAGCCGCCGCGGUAAUACCGGCAGCUCGAGUGAUGUCCCAUAUUAUUGGGCCUAAAGCGUCCGUAGCUGGCCAACCAAGUCCAUCGGGAAAUCCACCCGCCCAACGGGUGGGCGUCCGGUGGAAACUGGCUGGCUUGGAACCGGAAGGCUCAGAGAGUACGUCCGGGGUAGGAGUGAAAUCCCGUAAUCCCGGACGGACUACCGAUGGCGAAAGCACUCUGAGAAGACGGCUUCGACAGUGAGGGACGAAAGCUAGGGUCUCAAACCGGAUUAGAUACCCCGGUAGUC